AUGAUGCCUCUAUAACCUCGAUAAUCGCUACCGGUGAUGUCAUUACUACUCCUUAAAGUUGCCACUGCGAUCCUAUAUCGUCCUCUCCCUCAUUUAAGAUGAUAUUUCAAGGUCAAAUUAUUCGACACUCAGACCCGCUAAUACGCAAUCAGCACCAUCCCCCUCUAUAGAUGCUUCAUGGACACCAUCAUUGUUAUUUGGUGUAGCGGGGUUGAGUUAGAGGGGUUGAGUUACAAACCUAAGACUCUUGACAUUAGCCAUCUACUAUUGCCUAUAGACAUGAUGAGAUCAAAAUCUAAUGCGAUGAAAAAUCAUCCAUUUGCAUUAAAAAGGCUAGAGGACCUGAAGCCUAUGAUACAAGUUAGAAAAUAUACUGCAAUCGCCGAGAAGAAUAGACAGGUGGAGAGAGGUGUAAAACCUAAUCCCAAUUGUCAGGGAGGAUAGAAUGCAAACAAGUCUGAGUCAAAACAAGCGCCAAAAGGCUUUCGAGCUAUUCUUCAGUGGGCCAAUAAUUUGUCGAUCGGACAAUGGUCGAUAAAAUUUAAUAACUAUAUCGAUGUUUUAGUGCGCCGAGCAAAUAUCAUCAACUUGUACUUCAAACUCACAGAGCUGCCAUGGAGCUCCUACGAGGAUAUACGGAGAGAGCUUAUGGAAUACUAUUGUCUUGAGGACUGUCUUGGAGCAUUGCAACAUGUUUUCAACGUAAAGAUUGAGGUCGUGCUCAAAUAGUGGUG